AGUCGAACGGACUUAACUCAUUCUUUUAGAUUGAGAGCGGUUAGUGGCGGACUGGUGAGUAACACGUAAGCAACCUGCCUAUCAGAGGGGAAUAACAGUGAGAAAUCAUUGCUAAUACCGCAUAUGCUUACACUAUUGCAUGAUAGAGUAAGGAAAGGAGCAAUCCGCUAAUAGAUGGGCUCGCGUCUGAUUAGCUAGUUGGUGGGGUAGAAGCCUACCAAGGCGACGAUCAGUAGCCGGACUGAGAGGUUGAACGGCCACAUUGGGACUGAGAUACGGCCCAGACUCCUACGGGAGGCAGCAGUCGGGAAUAUUGCGCAAUGGAGGAAACUCUGACGCAGUGACGCCGCGUAUAGGAAGAAGGUUUUCGGAUUGUAAACUAUUGUCGUUAGGGAAGAAAAAAGACAGUACCUAAGGAGGAAGCCCCGGCUAACUAUGUGCCAGCAGCCGCGGUAAUACAUAGGGGGCAAGCGUUAUCCGGAAUUAUUGGGUGUAAAGGGUGCGUAGACGGGUGUUUAAGUUGGUUGUGAAAUCCCUCGGCUCAACUGAGGAACUGCAACCAAAACUGGAUAUCUUGAGUGUCGGAGAGGAAAGUGGAAUUCCUAGUGUAGCGGUGAAAUGCGUAGAUAUUAGGAGGAACACCAGUGGCGAAGGCGACUUUCUGGACGAUAACUGACGUUGAGGCACGAAAGUGUGGGGAGCAAACAGGAUUAGAUACCCUGGUAGUCCACACUGUAAACGAUGGAUACUAGGUGUAGGGUGUAUUAAACAUUCUGUGCCG
rnacentral:rRNA from 1 species